rnacentral:lncRNA from 1 species
CUAACUUCUUCAAACUUUCUCUUUAAAAUUCCACUCAUUGCUGCAAUGCUGUCACAUGCACCGAAUCCACCAGCCUCGCGCCGCCGUUAUAUCCCACGCAGCCACACCGAGCGGCUCCCGCGGGCCGCCGCCUCCGCUGGGCGACCGUUGGGCUCGAGCCGCCGCUCUGAGGCCGCGCGCAGCGCCCGCCUCCUCCGCCCGAGCUCACGGCCGCCUCUCCGCUGGGGCUCCCGCCGCUCCCGGCCGCCUUCCGUCGCGCGCCGCUCACCUGGCCCCGCGGCCGCCGCGUG